AGUUCCUGGUAAUGGGCAAAGGGAUAUCUGUUGUUGGUGUUAUUCUUGUAUCAAUCAGGGACAGAGCAGAUGGCAGUCCUUUGUUCAUCCUAGCUUGACACCUGGCUUGGUGACCAAACCUGUUUUAUGCCUAGGACACAUAA
ensembl:snoRNA Gm24475 predicted gene, 24475